AUUGAACGCUGGCGGCAUGCCUUACACAUGCAAGUCGAACGGCAGCACGGGUGCUUGCACCUGGUGGCGAGUGGCGAACGGGUGAGUAAAGUAUCGGAACGUGCCUGGUAGUGGGGGAUAACUAGUCGAAAGACUAGCUAAUACCGCAUACGAUCUAAGGAUGAAAGCAGGGGACCUUCGGGCCUUGUGCUAUCAGAGCGGCCGAUAUCUGAUUAGCUAGUUGGUGGGGUAAAAGCCCACCAAGGCGACGAUCAGUAGCUGGUCUGAGAGGACGACCAGCCACACUGGAACUGAGACACGGUCCAGACUCCUACGGGAGGCAGCAGUGGGGAAUUUUGGACAAUGGGGGCAACCCUGAUCCAGCAAUGCCGCGUGAGUGAAGAAGGCCCUCGGGUUGUAAAGCUCUUUUGUCAGGGAAGAAAAGGCUGUGGCUAAUAUCCACAGCUGCUGACGGUACCUGAAGAAUGAGCACCGGCUAACUACGUGCCAGCAGCCGCCGUAA
rnacentral:rRNA from 1 species